UCCUCGCUCAAUUAAUUUUGCCCAUAUUUUCUCUUCUUUUUCCUUUAUCUGUUUUCUUUUCUGCGCUUCUUUUAGGUUCUCCUCUUCCUAAUUUCGCAAUUCAAUGGCUAUUGUGGGUUAAAUCUGCGAGUGUGAUUAGAAGCAGAUAGAGACAAAGAAAUAGAUAAUGGUAGUAACUUCAUUUUCUUUAGACUCUUUGAAGAUUCUCUUUGAAGCAGCAUGUGUUACUUACUGCUUAGAAUUCUUCAUGGGUUGAGGCUUGGAAUUUUACAUAAAGUUGUGAUGCAUCCGGAAUGCAAGUUGUUGCUGGUGGAUUCUUGGGAUUGGCUAUAGCAGCAAUUGCAUGCAAUCACGGGCUCCAAAAUGUCAAGCAUGAAGGUAGCGAAGCUGUUGCAUUCCGUUGUUGCGACCAUACGAAGAAUCAAAAUAAUAGAUAGUUAUCACCAAAUUUGUUUAUUACUUUAUCUCAUUUCUGAAUUCCCCUUCAAGACACUAUAUACAGUUAUGUGAACCAAUAUUGACGAAAGUCCCUUCCUCUAAUACAGGUAAUCUGAUCUUCAUUA